rnacentral:rRNA from 1 species
ACUCUCGUGCCAUCACGACGGAGUUUA